GCCAGUGUGGUGUAGUGGUUUGAGCAUUGGACUGUGACUCUGGAGACCAGGGUUCGAAUCCCGGCUCGACCA